rnacentral:rRNA from 1 species
AUACGGAGGACGCGAGCGUUAUCCGGAUUCAUUGGGUUUAAAGGGUGCGCAGGCGGCCGUGCAAGUCAGCGGUGAAAGCCCGGGGCUCAACCCCGGAAGUGCCGUUGAUACUGCAUGGCUGGAAUGCGGUCGAGGCGGGCGGAACGUGGCGUGUAGCGGGGGAAUGCGUAGAUAUGCCACAGAACGCCGAUAGCGGAGGCAGCGGGCCAGGCCUGAAUUGACGCUCGGGCACGAAAGCGUGGGGAUCGAACAGGAUUAGAUACCCUGGUAGUCCACGCCGUAAACGAUGGGCGCUCGUCGUCGGCGGCAGACAGUCGGCGGCCAAGCGAAAGCGAUAAGCGCCCCACCUGGGGAGUACGGUCGCAAGGCUGAAACUCAAAUGAAUUGACGGGG